rnacentral:rRNA from 1 species
UGCCAGCAGCCGCGGUAAGACGGAGGGUGCGAACGUUGUUCGGAAUCACUGGGCAUAAAGAGCACGUAGGCGGCCCGCUAAGUCAGAUGUGAAAUCCCCCGGCUCAACCGGGGAACUGCAUCUGAUACUGGCGAGCUCGAGGACGGUAGGGGUGAGCGGAACUCCAGGUGGAGCGGUGAAAUGCGUAGAUAUCUGGAGGAACACCGGUGGCGAAAGCGGCUUACUGGGUCUCUUCUGACGCUGAGGUACGAAAGCUAGGGUAGCGAACGGGAUUAGAUA